UACGGAGGGGGCGAGCGUUAUUCGGAAUUAUUGGGCGUAAAGGGCGCGUAGGCGGCCAACUAAGUCAGACGUGAAAUCCCUCGGCUUAACCGGGGAACUGCGUCUGAUACUGGAUGGCUUGAGAUUGGGAGAGGGAUGCGGAAUUCCAGGUGUAGCGGUGAAAUGCGUAGAUAUCUGGAGGAACACCGGUGGCGAAGGCGGCAUCCUGGACCAACACUGACGCUGAGUGAGCGAAAGCCAGGGGAGCAAACGGG
rnacentral:rRNA from 1 species